ACCUCCCCUAGAAGCAGUGCAGGUGUGGCUGCUGUGUCCCAUGUGCACCAGUAGGUGGCAGAGAGGGGAGAGCCUAUCUCUAUGCUCAGUGCUCUGACCUGUUCUGAAAGAUUAGUAGCCUAAUACU